rnacentral:rRNA from 1 species
UACGUAGGCAGCAAGCGUUGUUCGGAGUUAUUGGGCGUAAAGCGCUGGUAGGUGGCUUGUUAAGUCGCGUGUGAAAUCUCCAGGCUCAACCUGGAAAGUGCGCGCGAAACUGGCGAGCUUGAGUGCCGGAGAGGGUCGCGGAAUUCCCAGUGUAGAGGUGAAAUUCGUAGAUAUUGGGAGGAACACCAGAGGCGAAGGCGGCGACCUGGAAGGUAACUGACACUGAGCAGCGAAAGCGUGGGGAGCAAACAGG